rnacentral:rRNA from 1 species
AACGAAGGGGGCAAGCGUUAUUCGUCGUGAUUGGGCGUAAAGGGUGUGUAGGUGUAUGUAAAUAAAAUCAUUUAAAGGUCAUUGAUUAAUCAAUGAAAGGGUGAUUUUAACAAACUUUUUGGGAUGGCUUGAGGUUUUUAGAAUUGCUAAUGGAAAGGUAAAAUUUAACGAUAUUAGCGGGAAUACCAAAUGUGCAAACAAAUUUCUCAUGCAUCUGUCGCUGAAACACUAAAGCAUGGGGGAUCAAACAGGAUUAGACACCCUGGUAGUCCUUGCCCCCCAGAGAUGAAUGUUAAAUAACGUUAUAUUGUUUCUUUGUAACGUUAUUUAAGCUAACGCGAAAACAUUCCGCCUGGGGAGUACGAUCGCAAGGUUGAAACU